GUGUUGUGAGCUCGAUGAGUAGGGCGGGACACGUGGUAUCCUGUCUGAAUAUGGGGGGACCAUCCUCCAAGGCUAAAUACUCCUGACUGACCGAUAGUGAACCAGUACCGUGAGGGAAAGGCGAAAAGAACCCCGGCGAGGGGAGUGAAAAAGAACCUGAAACCGUGUACGUACAAGCAGUGGGAGCACAGGUUUACCUGUGUGACUGCGUACCUUUUGUAUAAUGGGUCAGCGACUUAUAUUCUGUAGCAAGGUUAACCGUAUAGGGGAGCCGGAGGGAAACCGAGUCUUAAUUGGGCGUUAAGUUGCAGGGUAUAGACCCGAAACCCGGUGAUCUAGCCAUGGGCAGGUUGAAGGUUGGGUAACACUAACUGGAGGACCGAACCGACUAAUGUUGAAAAAUUAGCGGAUGACCUGUGGCUGGGGGUGAAAGGCCAAUCAAACCGGGAGAUAGCUGGUUCUCCCCGAAAGCUAUUUAGGUAGCGCCUCGUGAAUUCAUCUCCGGGGGUAGAGCACUGUUUCGGCUAGGGGGCCAUCCCGGCUUACCAACCCGAUGCAAACUGCGAAUACCGGAGAAUGUUAUCACGGGAGACACACGGCGGGUGCUAACGUCCGUCGUGAAGAGGGAAACAACCCAGACCGCCAGCUAAGGUCCCAAAGUCAUGGUUAAGUGGGAAACGAUGUGGGAAGGCCCAGACAGCCAGGAUGUUGGCUUAGAAGCAGCCAUCAUUUAAAGAAAGCGUAAUAGCUCACUGGUCGAGUCGGCCUGCGCGGAAGAUGUAACGGGGCUAAACCAUGCACCGAAGCUGCGGCAGCGACGCUUAUGCGUUGUUGGGUAGGGGAGCGUUCUGUAAGCCUGUGAAG
rnacentral:rRNA from 1 species